rnacentral:tRNA from 1 species
GCCGGGGUGGUGGAACUGGUAGACACAACGGACUUAAAAUCCGUUGGUGCAUAGCACCGUGACGGUUCAAAUCCGUCCCUCGGCA